UCCUAUCAUUGCCUGGAACUCUUUGCACUGUCCCUUCAAGCCUUCGAACUCCCAGAAGGAGCCACCAGCUUCUUUUGCCAAGGGCUAUCUUCCUGGAGCUGGGGGCGGUGGUUUUAUCCUCCUCUCAGGCUGGGGAAUCAAGGACUGGCUCUUGCCACAGAAUUGCUGGGCAGCUCAGGUUCCACUCUGGUUGGGAAUGUUGAUAAUGGCCGAGGCUGUGCAUGAGUCGGGGCAGAAGGUGCUGAGGUGGCCUGAAGAGCUGGCACCUUGCCUAUGAGGACCCUGCUCCUGCCAGUGGCUAAGCCAGCUGCUCGCUGCCACCAAGCCAC